rnacentral:rRNA from 1 species
CCUACGGGAGGCAGCAGUGAGGAAUAUUGGUCAAUGGCCGAGAGGCUGAACCAGCCAAGUCGCGUGAGGGAAGACGGCCCUACGGGUUGUAAACCUCUUUUGUCGGGGAGCAAAGCGAACCACGUGUGGUUCAUUGAGAGUACCCGAAGAAAACGCAUCGGCUAACUCCGUGCCAGCAGCCGCGGUAAUACGGAGGAUGCGGGCGUUAUCCGGGUUGAUUGGGUGUAAAGGGUGCGCAGGCGGAGGUGCACGUCAGCGGUCAAAUUGCGGGGCUCAACCCCGUACUGCCGUUGAAACUGCAUCCCUUGAGUGCGCGAGAAGUAUGCGGAAUGCGUGGUGUAGCGGUGAAAUGCAUAGAUAGCACGCAGAACUCCGAUGGCGAAGGCAGCAUACCGGCGCGCAACUGACGCUCAUGCACGAAAGCGUGGGUAUCGAACAGGAUUAGAUACCCUUGUAGUC